GAUGAACGCUGGCGGCGUGCUUAACACAUGCAAGUCGAACGAUGAAGCCCAGCUUGCUGGGUGGAUUCGUGGCGAACGGGUGAGUAACACGUGAGUAACCUGCCCUUAACUCUGGGAUAAGCCUGGGAAACUGGGUCUAAUACCGGAUAGGAGCGUCCCCCGCAUGGUGGGUGUUGGAAAGAUUUAUCGGUUUUGGAUGGAUUCGCGGCCUAUCAGCUUGUUGGUGAGGUAAUGGCUCACCAAGGCGACGACGGGUAGCCGGCCUGAGAGGGGGACCGGCCACACUGGGACUGAGACACGGCGCAGACGCCUACGGGAGGCAGCAGUGGGGAAUAUUGCGCAAUGGGCGCAAGCCUGAUGCAGCGACGCCGCGUGAGGGAUGACGGCCUUCGGGUUGUAAACCUCUUUCAGUAGGGAAGAAGCGAAAGUGACGGUACCUGCAGAAGAAGCACCGGCUAACUACGUG
rnacentral:rRNA from 1 species